rnacentral:rRNA from 1 species
ACGCUCAACACCAGGCAGCAGUUAGGAAUAUUGGGCAAUGGAGGAAACUCUGACCCAGCAACGCCGCGUGAAGGAAGAAGGUUUUCGGAUUGUAAACUUCUGAUCUAGGGGAAGAAGGAAGUGACGGUACCCUAGGAGAAAGCCACGGCUAACUACGUGCAAGCAGCCGCGGUAAUCUGAGCGGGCUGGCAAGGC